UCUUGAACUGACCUCGUGAUCCACCCGCCUUGGCCUCCCAAAGUGCUGGGAUUACAGGCGUGAGCCACUGCGUCCAGCCACACCUGGUUUUCAGAGGCUGAGGAAGGGGAGGUUUGGAAAGAUUUGGGGAAAAGGAAGGCAGAGCAGCAGGGGAAAGUCAGAGGACCCCUGCGAGCCCAGCCUUCUGUGAGGUGAGGGGGUGAAGGAGACUGUAGCCUGAAGCAGACAGUCGGGUGGGCCCUGCCCUGGCACUCCUGGGUGGGAGGCUGUGGGCAGCUGCCACUUGGCUGAUUCACAGAAGUGUUUCAUUGGCUUUGCUGUAAGGGCUGCCCUGGCCCAUCCAUGGGUGUGCUUGUACCCACCUUGAAAGGGGCUAGGGAGGGGAGGAGGGAGCUGUGAGGGCUUGUGCCUAGCAAGCCCUCCAGAGCUUCCUUGCCUGUGCUGAGCAAGCUCCAUGCUCUCUACAGGCCUACCUGGAGUCCUUCUACAAGUUCUGCACCCUACUGGGCGGGACUACGGCUGAUGCCAUGUGCCCCAUCCUGGAGUUUGAAGCAGACCGCCGCGCCUUCAUCAUCACCAUCAAUUCUUUCGGCACAGAGCUGUCCAAAGAGGACCGUGCCAAGCUCUUUCCACACUGUGGGCGGCUCUACCCUGAGGGCCUGGCGCAGCUGGCUCGGGCUGACGACUAUGAACAGGUCAAGAACGUGGCCGAUUACUACCCGGUGAGUGCCCCGGCUGGCAGGACAGCGGUUGGAUGUGUUGUCACCAAGCACCCCCACCCAGAACCCUCAUGCUCGUGCUUCCCCCCACCCCCCUGGCCAGGAGUACAAGCUGCUCUUCGAGGGUGCAGGUAGCAACCCUGGAGACAAGACGCUGGAGGACCGAUUCUUUGAGCACGAGGUGAGUCUGCAGGGUCUGCUUGUCAGAGGGAGGCCAACCUGGUGGUUUAGACCUGACUCUGUGGCCAUGGCCACCUGGACACCACAUCUGCCCGUGUCCACAGGUAAAGCUGAACAAGUUGGCCUUCCUGAACCAGUUCCACUUUGGUGUCUUCUAUGCCUUCGUGAAGCUCAAGGAGCAGGAGUGUCGCAACAUCGUGUGGAUCGCUGAAUGUAUCGCCCAGCGCCACCGCGCCAAAAUCGACAACUACAUCCCUAUCUUCUAGCGUCCUGGCCCAAGGCUCUCAAUUGCACUCUUUGUGUGUGUGUAUGUGGUCUGUGACAAGCCUGUGGCUCACCUGCCUGUCCGGGGUGUAGUACGCUGUCCUAGCGGCUGCCCAGUUCUCCUGACCCUCUUAGAGACUGUUCUUAGGCCUGAAAAGGGGCUGGGCACCCCCCCACCAAGGAUGGACCAAGACCCCCUCCAGAGCAAGGAGGCCCCCUCAGCCCUGUGGUUACAGCCGCUGAUGUGUCUAAGAAGCAUGUCACUUUCAUGUUCCUCCCUAACUCCCUAACCUGAGAACCCUGGGGCCUGGGGGCAGUUUGAGCCUCCUCUCCCGUCUGUGGGUCGCUCCCAGAGCCAUGGCCCAUGGGAAGGACAGAGUGUGUGUGUCCUUGGGGCCUGGGGGGAUGUUGCUCCUCAGCUCCCUCCCUCAGCCCUGCCCCUCUGAGACAAUAAAAC
rnacentral:sRNA from 1 species